rnacentral:rRNA from 1 species
UACGUAGGGUGCGAGCGUUAAUCGGAAUUACUGGGCGUAAAGGGCGCGUAGGCGGUUCGUCAAGUCCUGUGUGAAAUCCCCCGGCUCAACUGGGUAACUGCACAGGAAACUAGCGGGCUUGAGUUCGGGAGAGGGAAGCGGAAUUCCGGGUGUAGCGGUGAAAUGCGCAGAUAUCAGGAGGAACACCGGCGGCGAAGGCGGCACUCUGGGCCGGUACUGACGCUGAGGAGCGAAAGCGUGGGUAGCAAACAGG